rnacentral:rRNA from 1 species
AGUGAACGCUGGCGGUAGGCCUAACACAUGCAAGUCGAACGGCAGCACAGUAAGAGCUUGCUCUUACGGGUGGCGAGUGGCGGACGGGUGAGGAAUACAUCGGAAUCUACUUUUUCGUGGGGGAUAACGUAGGGAAACUUACGCUAAUACCGCAUACGACCUACGGGUGAAAGCAGGGGAUCUUCGGACCUUGCGCGAUUGAAUGAGCCGAUGUCGUAUUAGCUAGUUGGCGGGGUAAAGGCCCACCAAGGCGACGAUCCGUAGCUGGUCUGAGAGGAUGAUCAGCCACACUGGAACUGAGACACGGUCCAGACUCCUACGGGAGGCAGCAGUGGGGAAUAUUGGACAAAGGGCGCAAGCCUGAUCCAGCCAUACCGCGUGGGUGAAGAAGGCCUUCGGGUUGUAAAGCCCUUUUGUUGGGAAAGAAAAGCAGCAGGUUAAUACCCCGCUGUUCUGACGGUACCCAAAGAAUAAGCACCGGCUAACUUCGUG